rnacentral:rRNA from 1 species
GUAGGGAAUAUUGGGCAAUGGAUGCAAGUCUGACCCAGCCAUCCCGCGUGCCGGAAGAAGGCCCUCAGGGUUGUAAACGGCUUUUGACGGUGAAGAAUCGACAGGAUGCGUCCUGUUUUGACGGUAGCCGUUGAAUAAGCACCGGCUAACUCCGUGCCAGCAGCCGCGGUAAUACGGAGGGUGCGAGCGUUGUCCGGAUUUAUUGGGUUUAAAGGGUGCGUAGGCUGGAAGGUCAGUCAGCGGUGAAAAGCUAUCGCUUAACGAUAGUCUUGCCGCAGAUACUUCCUUUCUUGGAUGAGGAGGAGGCCACUGGAACGGAUGGUGUAGCGGUGAAAUGCAUAGAUAUCAUCCAGAACACCGAUUGCGAAGGCAGGUGGCUGUACCUUAAUCGACGCUGAUGCACGAAAGCAUGGGGAGCAAACAGGAUUAGAAACCCUAGUAGUCC